UCCCUGGUGACUCAGUGGUAAAGAAUCUGCCUGCAAUGCAGGAGACCCAGGUUCAGUUCCUGGGUUGGGAA
rnacentral:tRNA from 1 species